AUGGCGGCGAUGGAGGGCGGGAGGAUCCGAGCGGCGCGGGGCUACGGCGGCGGCAACGAGUCGGUGUCGGUGGGCGACGGCAUGAGCAUCUUCGGCCAGAGCCAGAGCCAGAGCCAGAGCAUCGACGUGCGGCGCCGCGGGAAGCCCCGGCGGCGAGCCACGCUGCCCAAGGUCGUCAAGAACGUGUCGUCCGAUGUCAAGCAGGUGGCGAGGUCCGGCUCCGGCACCGAUCGGCUGCCGCACCGGCGUCCGGCCGCCACGCCGGAGAGAGAGAAGGAGAAGGCGAAGGCGCGUGUGGAUCCUGAGCUGUUCGCGGGCAAGACGCUGGAGCAGCUCGUGGAGCAGGCCGACGCCAAGCAGCUGGUGGAGCAGCCCAAGGCGGGGUCGCAGGGGCCGGACAAGGAGAGGGCGCGCGUCGUCGCUGCAGCGGAGCCUGAGCUGCCGGCGGUCGUGGCCAAGAAGCAGCUGGAGCGGCAGGGGUCCCGCAGGUCGGAACUCCUCAAAGGACCGCGCGCGAACGUAGCCGGCCUCGCCGCAGACGUCGGUGGCGCUCGGCCGAUGGAGUCGAGCGGCGGCGCGACGUACGCCGAGGUGAUGCGUGAGCUGGACCGCGUCAAGAGGGAGCUGCGGGAGCUGCAGCGCGAGGUGAAGGCCGCGAGGGAGGCCAAGGCCGGCAUGCCCAUGGCCGAGGAGGACGCGGCGUCGGCGUCGACGAGGAGCCCUGGUUCGGUCGUCGCCCACGGCGCGAAAGAACGGCCGGGUGCCGACCACGAAGCGAAGGAGGUGCGCGUCGCCUUUGAGCUCACCGGAGCCGGCCGGUCGUCUACCAGGGAGACGGAGGAGGAGGUGACGAGGUGGACCCCGCCGAUCAUGGGCCGUCAGAGCGUGUCGAGCGAGCUCGAGGCGUGGCUAACCGCGGCGAGCUCCGACGACAGACGGCUCCGCCACGGCUUCGGCCACUCGUCGGACUCGGAGAUCACCGACGAGGGACACGACAGCUCGCCGUCGCUGCAGGCGGCGGAGGCCAAGCUGGACAUGGCGCGGGCGGAGCUCGAGUCCGCCAAAGGAGAGAGCCUCCAGUUCACGGCGUCCAUGGAGCGCACGCGCACGGAGGCGGCGCGCCUCGCCGAGGAGAUCGGCCGGCUGGAGGAGCAGGAGAAGAAGGCCGGCGCGCAGGUGCGGCAGCUGGAGGCCGCGCUGCGCGACGCCAAGUGCCGCCUGGGCGCCGUCACGGCCGCCGACGAGAUGGCCGGCGAGAUCCUGGCCGACCUGGAGGCGACGCUGCGGCAGCUGGAGGAGGAGACGGAGGCGGCGGAGAAGGAGAAGGCGCUGAUGGAGCAGGAGGGCCAGUGCGUCCAGGACGACGCGGAUAGCGUGGACGCCGAGAUCGCGGCCGCCGAGCAGAGGAUCAGGGGCUCGAUCAGGGAGCUGGAGGCGGCGAGGGCGUCGGAGGCCGCGGCGACGGAGAGGCUGAGGGCCGCCGUGGAGGGCGCGGCGAUGGAGAGGGCGUCCAUGGCGCCGCGGAGGUCCGGGAACGUGACGCUCCCGAGGUUCGAGUACGAGUACCUGACCGGCCGCGCCGAGGUGGUCCGCGCGGUCGCCGACAAGAAGGUGGCCGCGGCGGAGGCGUGGGUGGAUGCGCGGCGGGCCGGCGAGAAGGAGAUGAUCAUGCGGGCCGAGGCGAUCGAGAGGGAGCUCGGGCUAGAAUUACAGGCCGUGGACGACGAGAGCGCGGGGGAGCAGCGGAGGACACGCGACGGCCUGCAGCGCGCGCACACGUCGAGGCGAGCCGUGAUGGUGAAGGGCUCGUCGGCGGCGACGUCAAGAAGGAAGAACACGCCGCCGUCGCCAUCGCCGCCGCCGUCACCAUUGGCGCGGCACCCGCGGGCGCAGUCGCUCGCCAUAAGAAGCUACCUGAAGCUCGUCGGCGGGAAAUGCACGAGGCCAUGA
rnacentral:rRNA from 1 species